rnacentral:lncRNA from 1 species
UCAUCCCUUGAAUAGAUAUCCAAAAAAUACCUUGCCUCUAACCUUGCUGCGGCUUUACGGAGAGGAAUUUGCAGAGAAUGACGUAUUUGUUCAGCAAGAUUAGAGUUUACAUGAGAAUGAUCAGAUAUAGAUAUUACUGACUUAAGGUGAGUGGUAGUGAAAACAAUGGCUUCAUCUAAAAUGUCUUCCCCCCGAAUUGCUAGGUAUGCUGCCUCGUACAAACUCAACAUGCCUCGUAUAUCGUUGAUCAAUGAUUCCUUGAAUUUACCUUCAUCAUCUUUGAACUUAUCAAACACAUCUAAUGACCAUGUUCAAAAGAGGCGAGCUAGUCUCGAUUAGUGUACAUGCUUAAAUUUAAUUUGAUAAUCAACAAUAAUCUUGUAAUUAACAUAAAUAGUUUAAUUAACAAAAUGAGAAACUAUUACAUACCACAUGAAAUCUUAACCUGCUGUACGGCCAAGGCGGAUGUACGGUACAGCAGUUAAAGCUUAUUUACAGAAUCAACACUUCCAUAUUUAAUUUUUUUUUCCCUUGAAUAGAUAUCCAAAAAAUACCUUGCCUCUAACCUUGCUGCGGCUUUACGGAGAGGAAUUUGCAGAGAAUGACGUAUUUGUUCAGCAAGAUUAGAGUUUACAUGAGAAUGAUCAGAUAUAGAUAUUACUGACUUAAGGUGAGUGGUAGUGAAAACAAUGGCUUCAUCUAAAAUGUCUUCCCCCCGAAUUGCUAGGUAUGCUGCCUCGUACAAACUCAACAUGCCUCGUAUAUCGUUGAUCAAUGAUUCCUUGAAUUUACCUUCAUCAUCUUUGAACUUAUCAAACACAUCUAAUGACCAUGUUCAAAAGAGGCGAGCUAGUCUCGAUUAGUGUACAUGCUUAACUUUAAUUUGAUAAUCAACAAUAAUCUUGUAAUUAACAUAAAUAGUUUAAUUAACAAAAUGAGAAACUAUUACAUAC